AUCUACAGCCAUACCACCCUGAAUGCACCAGAUCUUGUCUGAUCUUGGAAACUAAGCAGGGUCAGGCCUGGUUAGUACUUGGAUAGGAGAAUGGCUUUGUUGUGGAAA
rnacentral:rRNA from 1 species